UCCUACUCAUCCAUUCUAAAAAUAAUAAGUGUUUAUUUGGUAGGCAGUACAAUUGGCCUAAUGUGUGAUAAUUGAUUAACUAAAAAUACAUACAAUAAAUGACAACACCUAAUAGAAACAGCUUAUCACAGGCGUUUAACGUGUUAAAUGCAAGAUAAUGAAUAUUGAUGCGGUUACUUCCAAUUAUUCUCUGAUAUCUGGAUGAAACAAUGAAGGAAUAUUAAGUAAUUGGGGCACCGCAAGAAGUACUUGAACCCGAACUUUCUGGAAGCCCCAACGAGCCGCAAAAUUAGAAUUUUCGUGAAGAUAGCACGUAAAAUCUCGUAAAGUUCCAAAUGGUGCGCGCAUUUCUUUAGGUAACAGGUAUGUACACACAGAGCAUCGGUGACGUAAGUAGCUAACACUAGGCCAUUGCAACCAUCAAUAACAAUUAAUAAACAUUCCUGUAAUUCGAUAAGUGGUCACGCUGGCUCUCUGCUGCUUCCACAUACCUUUCAGUUAAGGCAACCGUCGUAUUAUCCAUUUUGCCCUAGAAUCGCAGAUAGAGUUUUAAACGAAGUAAAUAAUAAGAACUGUCGUCGACAACAGAACACAUAUCGAUUGUUCUCGAAGGCUAACAUCACUAACACGAAUUUUACGCACUCAACAUAUCACUAACACCGGUCGGGUUCGCCUUCGCGCCAAAAAUUUUCGAAAUCGGUUCGAUUAAGGCACUUUUUUCGA